CUAAUUGUGAUGAAUAAGGUUUCGCCCCAGUCUGAAUUCUGUGACUGAAUCGAUUUAAGUGAUUUUAG